rnacentral:rRNA from 1 species
AUACGGAGGGUGCAAGCGUUGUUCGGAAUCACUGGGCGUAAAGGGCGCGCAGGCGGUUUGGUAAGUCAGAUGUGAAAGCCCAUGGCUCAACCAUGGAAGUGCAUUUGAAACUGUCAGACUUGAGUACUAAAGGGGAAAGUGGAAUUCCCGGUGUAGAGGUGAAAUUCGUAGAUAUCGGGAGGAAUACCGGUGGCGAAGGCGACUUUCUGGCUAGAUACUGACGCUGAGGCGCGAAAGCGUGGGGAGCAAACAGGAUUAGAAACCCUAGUAGUCC